UGGCCCUGUCUGGACAGUUUUAGUUGUCACAGCUGGGGCAGGGGUAGGGCUGGCACCCAGCGGGGGAGGGGAGGAUGAGCUGCUCAGCAUCCUGCGAUGCAGAGGACAGUCCCUCCCACAGGUGGGGGCGCGACGUACCCGGCUUUCAAAGUGCGUGUGGUCACCACCUAAGAGCUAGCGUUUCUUUGUAGAUUUUACAUGAGGACCCAUGGCAUGGCCCAGCAGGAGCUGCUCAAGCCCCAUCCUAACAGGCUUCCUGAGGACACAUCAGCCCAGCUGGGCACCUGGAAUUACGGGCAGAGGGGCCGUGGCGAGGGGGCCGAUGUGUGGACUAAACACCUGCACACGUCACCCCAGGCAACCUCGAGUGACUUCCAGUGACUCGCCAGGUCCGCCCUUAUAGAACGCCCGCCGCAGCGUCACGUGGCAGGCAGAAGUUCCCACCCGGAAAAGCAGCAGGCUGGGCCCGCUUCCGGCGGGAGUGGAAGCGGGUUUGGGGCGCCAACGCUAGAGGGCACUGGCAGCAAACCGCCCCCAACCGCGCCCCCACUCCGUGAGGGGGUCAAAGGAAGAGCCACGCCAGCAAAUCUCUACACUCUACAUGCUUUUUAUUACAAGACUACUGAGCAUACGAGGAAAAUUCAUCAUCUGGUAACUACACCUAAAGCACAUAUAUUUGGGGAAAAAAAAGAGAUUCAUUAAAUUAUAUGAUUAAAUCACUGACCCAAUAGAAAAUUUAUAUAAUAAAGCCAGAAAAAAAAGUUGUAAAAUAUAGUUUACAAUAAUUAUUCACAUUCAAGGCUGUACAUCAAUACAUACAACAACGUGGCCCCGAACAUGAAUUCAAUCCAAAUAAUUCAUAUAUUAGAAUUUAAAUAACACAGACUGAACUAGAGGCCAACAAUAGCCAGCAAAUAACCUUAUAUAAGAAUAAAAAUACAAAAGUGUAUAUCCUAAUAUCAUUGCAUUGUUUUCAUAAGUCUCUUAAUUUUUGCUUUGCCUGUACAUCACAGUUACAGCUACAGACCAGGUAGAGAUUACGCAUGUUCUGACUGCCACCCGCCUGAAAGACGUACUCGUCAUUUCUCCUAUUUUAUGUUGUGAAGGAACAGCUACAGCAGCUCUAAAUACUGUAACAAUUAAAUUUUGCCAACGUCCAACGUACAGUCCUAGUAGAGGCUUUUACCAGCACAAUGACCCCUAUUUGUAGUCAUUCUGCCAGAUGGUUAGGCUACGUGGGUUACACGGCUAAAAAAAGGUCUGCCUUUUGUAAAAAGUUCCCUGUACAUAGUUUGGUGUUUCUUCAUAUUGAAGAAAUGAGUUAUGGGGAAAAUUCAGGUACACACAUAGGCUCCUUCAGUUGUGCUCACCACAGCCAUAGCAACAGAUCAAAGUGCUCUUUGUUGGAAACAGCUUCCUCCUCACAUCAGUUCUCCACAGGCAGCCUCAUCUACAACCCUGCAAUUUUGGGCCAGAAGUGGUGGCCCCUCAGAGGCUCUGAAGUGCCUCCAGCCCCAAUUCAGGCACUUGCCACGUGUGCUGCGUAAGAAGGGACCCCACCCAGUGAGUCAACAUAGGUUCAUGUCAGGUUUGAGUUUGAAAAUAACUGGGGAAAAGUGUAUGACAACAUCUUCCAGAACAUAGUACCUUCACCGUAUUCUCACAGCAGCUGCGCUCUAAAGUCCCAGCAGUGAGCACCCCGGCUCUGUGGACCAGCCAGGCAAGGAAGCCUCAGGCUUCAGAGGAGGGCAAGAAACCAAAUUCUGUGCUAUUUGGCCAUACUCUCUGGUAGAGUGAAGCAGCACUGAACGCGGUGCCUAGAAAAUCCUCCUGCAUGUUCCCCCGUACAAUCAAUGGACCCCAACUAAAGUGGAGAAAUAAAAAUCCAACCAAAUUUGGGUGGUCUGGACUUGCCAAGCCAGGCAAUCUGCAAUACUGUGGGCAGGGAGUGGGGAAGAGACGGCCUGAAAUCUACACCAGCUGGGACAACCACGCCCUACAAUGAAAAAGCCAGCCUGGCUGCCGGGCUCUUCUGAACCACUAAGGCCUGAAGCAGGGGCAGGAGCGGGGAGACAAAUGCACUCGGAAAACCCAAUCAGCGACAUGGUUUUUUUCAAGUGGAGGCUUUGCUCUGCUACUGAUUCCAAAUGGCCUAAUGUACUUUCUGAGUCUAUAAACUUAAUUACAAAUCAUUCACUAAGCAUGUGGCAAGGUCAGUUCAACACUUGUUAUCUCUGCUGACUGUGCAGAUGCAAAUUCAGUACCAUUGUGGACACAAAGUACAAGGUUCUGAAAAUACUGCCAAGCGCUUGAAAGCCACAGCAGCAGGGAUGGCAGAGAGCUGACAUGCAGGCGGAGCCAGGUUCUUGCAACCAAAACAAGGAAACUGGCUCUUGGAAAAAAUCGGCCACAAAUGGAUUGCAGCAAUGACAUCCUCUUAGCAUUUAAAUAAAGAGCGGUCUUAUUCAGACAUUCUUUGGAACACACACAGUUUAUCAGAAACUGAUUUGUUCAGAAUCUGCAGGACACAACUAAGGUGGUUCUGCUACUGGAACUCUGAGCAUCUAAACAUAAGGUUGAGAGAGAGACAGAAAAAUAUAAUUAAAAUGAACAAACUUUUUGACCUCAAAAUACUACUUUUAGGCAUCUAAGGGGGGAAAAAGAAAGAAAUCAGAUGAUUUUAAGGAUAUUCAUCACAGUAUUAUUUAAAUAGUGGAAAAAUCAGAAACCGUCUAAAUAUUUUACAGUAGGGAAAUGGUCAGAUAAAUUAUAGUAAAUGGACAACUAAACACUACAAUUGUUAAAAACGUGUUUCUGAGAAACUCAUGACAUGGGAAAA